rnacentral:rRNA from 1 species
CCUACGGGAGGCAGCAGUGAGGAAUAUUGGUCAAUGGACGAGAGUCUGAACCAGCCAAGUAGCGUGAAGGAUGACUGCCCUAUGGGUUGUAAACUUCUUUUAUAUGGGAAUAAAAUGUUCCACGUGUGGGAUUUUGUAUGUACCCUAUGAAUAAGGAUCGGCUAACUCCGUGCCAGCCGCCGCGGUAAUACGGAGGGUCCGAGCGUUAUCCGGAUUUAUUGGGUUUAAAGGGAGCGUAGGUGGAUUGUUAAGUCAGUUGUGAAAGUUUGCGGCUCAACCGUAAAAUUGCAGUUGAAACUGGCAGUCUUGAGUACAGUAGAGGUGGGCGGAAUUCGUGGUGUAGCGGUGAAAUGCUUAGAUAUCACGAAGAACUCCGAUUGCGAAGGCAGCUCACUGGACUGCAACUGACACUGAGGCUCGAAAGUGUGGGUAUCAAACAGGAUUAGAUACCCCUGUAGUC